rnacentral:rRNA from 1 species
GACAGAGGGUGCAAACGUUGUUCGGAAUUACUGGGCGUAAAGCGUGCGUAGACGGUUAUUUAAGUCGGGUGUGAAAGCCCCGGGCUCAACCUGGGAAUUGCAUUCGAGACUGAAUAGCUAGGGUACGGUAGAGGGAAGUGGAAUUUCCGGUGUAGCGGUGAAAUGCGUAGAUAUCGGAAGGAACAUCAGUGGCGAAAGCGACUUCCUGGACCAGUACCGACGUUCAGGCACGAAAGCGUGGGGAGCAAACAGG